rnacentral:rRNA from 1 species
ACGUAAGUUAUUUGAUAGUCCUUACUACUGGAAACCGGAGUAAUUCCAAAACCUAUAACUGGCUCAAAUCCCCACUGUCUGGGAGGGGGGGAUUUUUUUAUAAAAACAACACCUGUGCUGGGGGAACCCUGGGAGAGUCGUGAUAACUACUAAAAGUGCAAGGCCUUGGGCCGGCCACGGUUCAUUCAUCUUUCUGCCCUAUCCCCUUUCAACGGUAGGAGAUAGGCCAACCACGGAGGUGGCGGUUAACGGAUAAU